ACAUCUGAAAUGAACCAAAGGUUUACCGCUAAGGGAUGGGGAUGCGUCUGAUUAGGUAGUCGGCGGGGUAACGGCCCACCGAGCCUUCGAUCAGUAGGGGUUCUGAGAGGAAGGUCCCCCACAUUGGAACUGAGACACGGUCCAAACUCCUACGGGAGGCAGCAGUGAGGAAUAUUGGUCAAUGGACGAGAGUCUGAACCAGCCAAGUAGCGUGCAGGAUGACGGCCCUAUGGGUUGUAAACUGCUUUUAUACAGGGAUAAAGUAGGGAACGUGUUCCCUUUUGCAGGUACUGUAUGAAUAAGGACCGGCUAAUUCCGUGCCAGCAGCCGCGGUAAUACGGAAGGUCCGGGCGUUAUCCGGAUUUAUUGGGUUUAAAGGGAGCGCAGGCCGGAGGUCAAGCGUGACGUGAAAUGUAGGGGCUCAACCUUUGAAUUGCGUCGCGAACUGGCUUUCUUGAGUGAGUACGACGUCAGCGGAAUUCGUGGUGUAGCGGUGAAAUGCUUAGAUAUCACGAAGAACCCCGAUUGCGAAGGCAGCUGACGAGUCCUUAACUGACGCUAAAGCUCGAAGGUGCGGGUA
rnacentral:rRNA from 1 species